AUGGAAGCGAUCGCAUACAACAACCAAGCGUUUUGCUUCAACACCAUGCUACAAACCGGCAUAACACAUGACUUCACUCGCGUCGGGUUCAACCCCACGGAAAUACCAUAUGGACAUUUCUGGUAUCUAGCCAUGGAGUUUGUCAUCACACUAAAUGCUAGAACCGAGGUUAGGAUGUCGGUGCACAGGAUAACAUCGACAAUUUGUCCAUCGUGCUUCCCACAAUUUGGGGCCAUAUUCUCGCUACGGGACAAAAGCAUCACUGAUGUUGUUGCUAUUCUUGCCUAUGUUGGUAAGAUACAACAUCAGUGGGAUUCAAUAUAUAGACGCCACAUCCUUUUCCUUGAGAUUGGCCUCAUGAACUUUCGGUAA
rnacentral:rRNA from 1 species